rnacentral:rRNA from 1 species
UACGUAGGGUGCGAGCGUUGUCCGGAAUUAUUGGGCGUAAAGAGCUUGUAGGCGGUUUGUCGCGUCUGCUGUGAAAUUUCGGGGCUCAACCCCGAACUUGCAGUGGGUACGGGCAGACUAGAGUGUGGUAGGGGAGACUGGAAUUCCUGGUGUAGCGGUGAAAUGCGCAGAUAUCAGGAGGAACACCGAUGGCGAAGGCAGAUCUCUGGGCCGUAACUGACGCUGAGGCGCGAAAGCGUGGGGAGCAAACAGG